rnacentral:rRNA from 1 species
UACGUAGGGUGCAAGCGUUGUCCGGAAUUAUUGGGCGUAAAGAGCUCGUAGGCGGUUUGUCGCGUCGAAUGUGAAAACCCGGGGCUCAACCCCGGGCCUGCAUUCGAUACGGGCAGACUAGAGAUCGGUAGGGGAGUCUGGAAUUCCUGGUGUAGCGGUGAAAUGCGCAGAUAUCAGGAGGAACACCGGUGGCGAAGGCGGGACUCUGGGCCGAUACUGACGCUGAGGAGCGAAAGCGUGGGGAGCAAACAGG